GACCAUUAGUGGGUACUCUUACUGAUGAACUUUUAUUACGUUAAAAUUUGAGUACAUGGGAGCAGUGCGGCCUGGGGUGUGGUUGGUGAUGAGUGUGCGAGCGUGAGUGUGAGUGAAUGAGUGUGCAAGGUGAUUGUGCAAGAUGAAGGCCCCUUCCCCGCCUACGCCUUGAUCUUAUUUGAUCGGGUCUAACCCCCACCCUUUAGCCCCACCGGUUCGACCUGAGAUGAAAAAAACCUCCCUCCUGUGAAACCCUCCUGCUUGGGCCCUGUGCAGUGAGGCCUUCCUCGAAGCGGUGGCAUUAUCACCUAAGGCUCUAGUUUGGUCCCAGUCCAGAGUUGGUUCCGAGGGGUCUGGUGCUCGGAUGUGAUGAAUUGAUCAGAUAGACGAGGCCCGGAGUCACUGAUUUAUCAAAGGUAUUAAUGAUCUGA